UACAGAGGGUGCGAGCGUUGUCCGGAAUCACUGGGCGUAAAGGGCGCGUAGGUGGUGGCUUAAGCGUGCGGUGAAAGCUCGGGGCUCAACUCCGAGUCGGCCGUGCGAACUGGGCUCACUGGAGCAUAGUAGAGGCAGGUGGAAUUCCGGGUGUAGCGGUGGAAUGCGUAGAGAUCCGGAAGAACACCGGUGGCGAAGGCGGCCUGCUGGGGCAUGAGCUGGAC
rnacentral:rRNA from 1 species